AUUGAACGCUGGCGGCGUGCUUAACACAUGCAAGUCGAGCGGUAACAGGUGUAGCAAUACAUGCUGACGAGCGGCGAACGGGUGAGUAAUGCUUCGGAAUCUGCCCAGUAGUGGGGAAUAACCAGCCGAAAGGUUGGCUAAUACCGCAUACGACCUGAGGGUGAAAGCGGGGGAUCGCAAGACCUUGCGCUAUUGGAUGAGCCGAAGUCGGAUUAGCAGUUGGUAGGGUAACGGCCUACCAAGGCGACAAUCCGUAGCUGGUCUGAGAGGACGACCAGCCACACUGGGACUGAGACACGGCCCAGACUCCUACGGGAGGCAGCAGUGGGGAAUAUUGGACAAUGGGGAAACCCUGAUCCAGCGACGCCGCGUGUGUGAAGAAGGCCUGCGGGUUGU
rnacentral:rRNA from 1 species